GUCAGGAUGGCCGAGCGGUCUAAGGCGGUAGACUCAAGUUCUAUUCCACUCAUGUGGGCGUGGGUUCGAAUCCCACUUCUGACA
rfam:Intoshia linei isolate Intl2013 Contig_43064, whole genome shotgun sequence.